CUACGGGAGGCAGCAGUGGGGAAUCUUGGACAAUGGGCGCAAGCCUGAUCCAGCCAUGCCCCGUGGAUGAUGAAGGCCCUAGGGUUGUAAAAUCCUUUCGUUGGGGACGAUAAUGACGGUACCCAAAGAAGAAGCUCCGGCUAACUUCGUGCCAGCAGCCGCGGUAAUACGAAGGGGGCUAGCGUUGUUCGGAUUUACUGGGCGUAAAGCGCGUGUAGGCGGGUCGUUAAGUUGGGGGUGAAAUCCCGAGGCUCAACCUCGGAACUGCCUUCAAAACUGGCGACCUGGAGCAAGAUAGAGGCAAGUGGAAUUGCGAGUGUAGAGGCGAAAUUCGUAGAUAUUCGCAGGAACACCAGUGGCGAAGGCGACUUGCUGGAUCUUUGCUGACGCUGAGACGCGAAAGCGUGGGGAGCAAACAGGAUUAGAUACCCUAGUAGUCC
rnacentral:rRNA from 1 species